AACUACAGUGUUAAUCUCAAAGGUUAUUUUGCAUGGUCAUAUUUAGACAAUUUCGAAUGGAAUAUUGGUUAUACAUCAAGAUUUGGGUUGUACUAUGUAGACUACAAAAAUAACCUAACAAGAUACCCCAAGGAAUCGGCUCUUUGGUUCACAAAAUUCCUGAAUAUAUCGGUUAAUGCAAAUAAUAUCUAUGAGUUUCCAUCAAAGGAUUCAAGGAAGGUUGGCAAAUUCUACGUAAUGUAGAUAAUGUCUUUACUUUUUGUGUGUCCCUUGUAAUUAAAUAAUAUCAUUGGGCUACUGUAUACCACCAAUGAUCUGUCUUAUGUUGUGAUAAAGUUUUUGAUAUGUUGUAUUGUUAUCUUAUGUUUGAAAUAAAUAUUAUCCUUUUCUGUUUUGUUUUAAUUAAUUUUUCAUCUAUCGAUUCAGAAUAUGAGUAAUGUGUCCCUUAUAAAAGUUUUAGCCACUCCUUUUUAGGCCUGAUCCAAAUUUAAUAUGGUAUCAGAUUCUCCCCAUUGAUGUUGGGUCUCUCAUAAAUAUGUCACGCUCGAGUGUAAUCCUGAAUGUGAGAGUAUAUGUUGAAUCUCACAUCGGCUUAGAAUAGGGGUAAUGUGUUCUUUAUAAGAGACUUAGGCACUCCUUUUCUUGAGCUAAAAUUUUGAGACGAGUUAGAGAUAAUUCAAAUUUAACGGUUUUAAUUAAAUUUUUAAAUUAAUAUUGAAGAUAUUAAUUAUUUUUUCAAAAGAUUAAAUUAUAUCAUUUUAAAUAAUUAAAUUGAAUUUUUUUUCUUUAAGUCUUUACAUAAAUUAACAAUAUUAUUAUAUUAAUGGCAUUGUUAAUUUCAGAAAAUAACCUUACAAAAACUUCAUUUUUUUAAAUUUGAUUAUAAUACAGAACAUUGCCUAAAAUAAUAUUUUUAUAAUUCUUGCAAGAUAUAAGGAAAAAUUUUCAAUUAUCUCAUAGUAAUUGAGCGUGAAAUAUGUAAAUCAUUUCUCUUCCUAAUUCCAAGAUAAUUGUAAUAGUCGUUUCUUGCCAUGUCGUCUAUAUGGAAAAAAAAAAAUUGAGCAGUUUAACUUUUCAGAAGAUUAAGUUUCGAAAUAAAAUAUUAAUUUUUUUAUAGAAAAAUGUAAAUUUUGGUUUUAAAUAUUAGUAAAUUAAUCAAACACAUAAUAUUUACAUUAUUUUUAAAAAUUUAAUAAAUAGUUAACUUAUUAAAAUCAUAAUAAUAAUAUAUAAAUAUAUUAUAUAUAAAUUCAGGAGUAGAGCUUUUUAUUACUAUUUUUCAUUGGGAUACUCCUCAAGCACUACAAGACAAAUAUGGUGACUUUUUAAGCCGUGUGAUAUUGUGUAAGUAUAGAAUUUUAUUGUGAUUUCAAAAUAUUAAAAAUUUAGAAUUUCAUAUAAAUUUUGUUCAAAAAUAUUCUCACCUAAGUAUUAAAAUAUUUUAUUGAAUUAUUACAUGAAAUACAUGGAAGAUUAUCGCCAAUAUACAGAUCUUCUCUUUGAAAGAUUCGAUGAUCGAGUCAAACACUGGAUGACUUUUAAUGAACCAUCAGCAUAUGUUGGAUUUGCCCAUGAUGAUGGAGUUUUUGCUCUUGGUCGAUGCUCAUCUUGGGUAAAUCGCCAAUACCUAGCCAGAAACUCAGCCACAGAACCUUACAUAGUAUAUUAUUUAUAUGACAUUAUUUUUCUCCUAAAAAAGAUAUGCACUUAAAGAAAACCUUUGUGUACUUAACUAUGUAGGGAACUCAAAAGGGCAAGAUUGGAAUUACUCUCUUUACCUUUUGGUAUGAACCUCUCUCCAACAGUGCAGUUGAUAUACAAGCAGCCAAAACCGCUAUAGAUUUCAUGUUUGGAUUGUGAGUCUUUCUUCCAAAUUGAGCUAUUAAUUAAAUAUUUAACAUAUACACAAGUCUUUAAUUAAACACAACAUUCUUUUCAUAAUUCCAUAUGGAUGGAUCCUAUGACUUAUGGGCGAUAUCCAAGAACUAUGAGAAAUUUAGUUGGAGAUAGAUUGAUUGAGUUUACAGAUGAAGAAUCUCAAAUCUCAAUUACUUAGAGAAUCAUAUGAUUUUAUUGAAUUACAAUACUACACUGCAUAUUAUGCAAAACCAAAUAUUACCGUUGAUCCAAAUUAUCAUAGAUAUAAAACUAGUAGUGGCGUUAUUGAGACUUGUAAGUUUACAUAUAAAAUAAUUCAUCAAAGGUGGAAUAGAUUGUGUAUAUAUAUGUUUUUCUUUCUUAAUAAAGUUUAACUGAUAAUAUAGUAUAUUUUUUCUUUGCUACAGCUUACGAUAAUAAUGGUAAUCUUAUUGGUCCAAAGAUUAGUAUACAAGAAAAUAAUUUGAUAAAAAUCUAACAAACUAUGUGAAUAAUAUCAUUGACAUACAAAUUAAAAAUUUGCAGGCUUACUCGCCUUGGUUUUAUAUUUUUCCAAAAGGUAUUCAGCACUUUUUGAUCUAUUCCCAAGAUACAUAUAAUGAUCUAGUAAUUUACAUUACUGAGAAUGGUAAGUUUUUUUUAAAAAAUAAAAAUGUUUUGUUCAUAGAAAAGUAAAUUGAGAUUAUAUUUUUGAUCUAAUUCUGAAGUUUUUUAUACACUAAUUUAGGGGUUGACAACUUCAAUAAUGAAACUCAACCGAUUGAGAAGCACUUCAAGAUAGACUACUAUCGAAAGUAUUUGUGGAAUGCAUUAGGAUCUCUCAAGUGAGUCCAAACUCUAUGACCCAUACUAAUUAUUAGAGAUUUGCGAGAACUAUUUUUAAUUUAUUUUCAAAUGAUUAUUGAUUUUUAUAGGGAAUACAAUGUUAAUAUCAAAGGUUAUUUUGCAUUGUCAUAUUUAGACAACUUCGAGUGGAAUAUUGGUUAUACAUCAGGAUUUAGUUUGUAUAAUGUAGACUGCAAAGAUAACCUAAAAAGAUACCUCAAGAAAUCGGCUCUUUGGUUCACAACAUUCCUGAAUAUUGGUUGAGUUGAUAGCUUCUAGGUUAGAGUGUUCUCUCGGGGUCAGUGGACCCGAGUGUGAUCCAUCUGUGGCAGAGUCAGUCUGCCGGUACAGUUCAGUGUCAAUUGAGAGUAGAUGCCUUCCACCCGACCUUGAGGUCCUAGACUUGACUGUCUGGACGUCAUUAUAGGGAUGGAUUGAUUUUUCUACUCGUAGUACUACCUGUGUCUACAGAGACAAGGUAGGAGAGUUUAGAGUUCUGGAUGGAUCAGAGUUUGUCUGUUGAGAGGACACAGUAGGGAUGCCUAGAGGUUCAUUAUCGGCCUUUCAGACUCGUAGGGUGCGUAGGAGGGGUUGUCAGAGGGUUCUAGCUCUUGUUUGAGAGUUUAGCAGUCGGGUCAGAGAACCAGCCUCAAUGCCAGUUGUUAGAGAGAGUCUUAGAUGUCUUCCUAGACAAGUUGUCGGGUUUACCACCUGAUAGGGGAUAGAGUUUGGAAUAGGAGUGGUGUCUGGACCCAGAACCAUUUAUAUCCUUCCCUACAGGAUGGCACCUGCAGAGUUGAGGUAGUAGUAAGAGUAAUGUCGAGACUUGGUAGAGAAGGGUUUUAUCCGACCUAGUACCUCGCCCUGGAGUGUUCCAGUAUUGUUGUGGAAAACGAAGGAUGGAUCCUUGAGACUUUGUAACGACUGUAAGCAAUUGACAAGGUCACUACCAAGGGCAGGUGUUGCCACUCAGGAUUGAUGAUCUAUUGGAUCAGCUAGCAGGAGCUGGUUGUGUUCCUAGAGAGAUCUGAAAUCCGGGUACUCCCUGUUGAGGGUUUGAGAAGAAGUCAGUCUAGUAGAGAAGAAGAGAGAAGAGAAAGGAUCAGAGUGCGCAGUAGAAGCUGGUGGAGUUCAAGAGUAGGUUGGGGUAUUGCGUAAGGUGAAUCCAUUCGGAUUUCCAUGUUCCUAUGUUAUGGAAGUUCGUGUCAGAUCCAAGUGAGGUUCUUAAAGAACCAAAGGUGGAGAUCUUGGAGGGUCUCACCUAUGUUGAGCAGUCAGUGGGGAUCAUUGACACACAAGUCAGAAAGAGAAGGAACAAGGAAAUUCCGAUGGUGAAAGUUCCUUGGAAUCGCCAGUGUGGGCGAGUGCGCUUGGGAGAACCGGGAGUUCAUACUCUAGCGGUACCUGUGUCUCUCUUUUAGGAGGGAGGUUUUUAAGUUUUGCUUGCUUGUCUGCUUGCUUGCUUAUGUAUGCUUGAUGCUAUGUUUUGAGUUUGCCUGUUUGUUUGAACAUUCGGGGACAAAUGUUCUUAAAGGGGGGAAGAAUGUAAUACCCGGCUAGAUUUCGGCAUCGGAAUCCCUACCUUCCGGCGGAAUCUCCGUUGGAAUCUGGAAUUCUAAAGAUGUCAGAGUCUUCUAGAGGGGUAAAAUGUAUUUUUAAUAUGUUUUCACAUGAUUUUAUGAUUUUAAAUGGAAAAGAAAUUGAGUUUUGAAGAGAAUAGGCCAAGGAGGCAUUUGCCAAGUUCAGCCGCCGAAAGUGAAGUUCGGCAGCCGAACAUGGGGCUGUUUCGGGAGUGCUUUAGGCUUCCGAAAGCUUUGAGUAAAGUAAGCCAUGUUCGGCCGCCGAAAGUCAGGUUCGGCCGCCGAACAUGGGAUUGUUCGGGGGCAUGUUAGGGGGCACGUUAGGCUGCCGAAGGUGGUGGAGUUGCGGGAGCAACUUAGGCCGCCGAAGGUGGUUGACCAGGCCACCUAUAAAAGGCUCUCAGCCCGAAAAUGGGCGAGUUUUCUCCCCGUUCUCGAGCUCAGGUGAGUUCUUGCCUUCUUUGGUUCACUUCAUGUUCCUUCUUAAAUCUUCCAAGGUUUUUAUGAGAGUUUUGUGGCUUUAAAGAGUUUUAAAGCUUGGAUCAAGUUUUGGGAGCUUGGAGACCCAAGGAGUUGUUUCCUCCCAUCUCUAAGUUAGGGAUCGCACCAACCCUCGAUCUUCAAGAGGUAAGUGUAAAUCCUUGUUUCCCUUUGUGUUUAAUGAAGUUUUAAGUAAGUUUAAGGAAGUUUUGAGGCAUGAAUAUGGGUAGAUAUGCAUGUUAAGGUUUAUGUGGGUUUUAUGCUCAUUGUAUGUUUAUGCAUGUUUAUGUGAUGAUAUGUUGAAGGUUUAGGCUAGUUUAUGCUUGUGGGAGUGUGUAUGCAUGUUUGGGGGAGAGCAUGUGAGGUUUUGGGUGGUUUUGGAAGGUUUGGAGGCUGUUGUGCAUGUGAAGGCUGAGUUCUACCCUUCUGGGAAGAACUCAGGUUCAGCCGCCGAACCUGCCUGUGGUAGCUUGUUUUGGCUGCCGAACCCUGCCUCCGAAAGUUGGACUUUCGGCUCUGGAGGGGAGUUUCGGCCGCCGAAGGUGCCGCCAAACAUGCAUGAGUUUCCUCUCUGAAGAGGAGUUUCGGCCGCCGAACUUGCCGUCGAACCUGCAUAGCUUUUGGCUCUGGAAGGCACAUUCGGCCCCGAAAGUGCCCUGUCCAGCCCUUUCUUGGGUGUUUUCUAUGCAUGCUUUUAUGAUGUUUUAGGGGGUUUUUGGGGAGUUGCUUAUGAGUUAUUUAGAGUGUGUUUGGCACCUCAUUCGAGUCCACCUAUGUAGGAUCGGACCCGAGGGACCGAGGAGGCCAUUAGUGUUAGCUGUUGCAGAGUCAGUCCAGCGUCUGCCAGAGGUGAGUAGAACUAACUCAAAUAUUUUUAACAUGUUUCACGCAUCAUGAAUACCAUGUUUAUGUAGUAGGUUGCUUGCAUUAAAAAUCAUGAAUAUGCUGCAUUGCAUUAUUUACUGUUGAUGUGGAUGGACCAAGGCGACCCCAAUAGCCCAAGAUCUGUCAUAUAUUGAAAGUCCUGUGUGAGCUCCUUCGGGGGCCGAGCACCAUGUUGAAAGUCCUGUGUGAGCUCCUUCGGGGGCCGGGCACCGACAGAGGGAGUUUUGGAGGUUAUGUCCAUAUGUGAUGUGAAAUGUUUGUGCUGUGACGCAUUCCAUGAUAGCAUGUUUUAGUAUAUUAUGCACUGUUUCUACUCACUGGGCUUUUUAGCUCACCCCUUUCCCCUAAACCCCAGGUUUGCAGGUAUGAGGUCGAUCGAGAAGUCAGCAAGGGCUUAUGUUUUGCUUAUGUAAUAGCUUAGAAUGUUGUGUGGACAUGUAAUGUAAAUUGAUAUAAUGUAUUGCAAGAUAAUGUGAUGUAAUGUAACUUAAAGUAGAGUUAUGUUCAUGGAUUAGUACUGUGCUUGGCCCUAAGACUUGGUUAGUCCCCUUUUAGUACAUGAUGUAUGUAAAGUUUUAAUGUUGAGUUGUUUGUGAACUAAACUUGUGGCAUGUGAUGUUUACCACGCUAGAGUAUUUGAUGAGGACUCUAGUGGAGGUUUUAUGUUUAUGGCUUUGAUGCAUGCACAGGUUAGGUUUUGGUUCAUUGGAUGUAAUUCAAGCUUGAUGUAUGUUAUGUUGACCCAGCUAGAGCAUUGAUGAGGGCUCUAGUAUGGGGUUCCUUUAUGUUUCCAGUUAUGUAACAUACAGGUCACAAUCGGUAUUUACAUCAGGUGUUUAAGUUUUUAUGUUAAUGUUUUGAUCAUGUAUGGGAUUUGACCAGGUGAUAGGAGGUAUGUUAGGCUUGCUAUGGGUCUCGGCGGCCUUAAGCCGAUCUGGAUCCUAGCGCCGGUAGCGGUCCGGAUUCCGGGUCGUUACAGUCUAAAUCUGCUGUAAAAUUUAAAACUAGUUGCUCCGUGUCAUAGAGUUUUUCUUCAAUAGGUUUUUAUUUAUUUGACCCUUAAAAAUACACGUUGCUUUGUUAUGUUCUCCUUUAGUUCUGAAGCCUUAAGCUUAGUUGAUGUAUUGUAAUGCUUUUAUUCAUUUAAUGAAAUAUUAUCUUUAAUAAAAAAAAAAAACACUUUAUCAAGGAAACUUUUAUUUCUCUCUAAAAAUGCCAAAAAUAAGAAUAGAAAGUGUUUAAUGUUCGCCGAGUACAUAUUGAAAUAUUUCCUUUUUAUGGGAAAUGUUGUCACUUAAUUUAGAAAAUUAGGUGAGAGAUGACAUUCGAUUAUGUGAUAUGAGCACUGCACACCACUUUUAUCACUUUUAAUACUAAGCCUUUUAUUAGAAAAAAAAAAAAAAAAAUCUUUAACUAUCUAAUAAUAGAACUAAAAAGCAACUUUAUUCGCGAUUAAUAAAAUAAAUAUAAAAAAUUAAAAAUAUUCUCGAAUUAACGACUAUAUAUAUAUUUUUUUAUUAACAAUUUUACUUAUGUUUUUUAAAAUAAAUAAUUUAUUAAUUUUUCACAUGAUCGAUGUAUUUAUAUUUAAUUAUUAUGAAUUUAGUAAGUUAACUAUUGAUUAAAAUUUAAAAAUUAAUAUUAGAUAUUAUGUGUUUGAUAAUUUUACUAAUAUUUGAAGCCAAAAUAUUUACAUUAUUUUGAAAAAGAAAAUUAAUAUUUCAUUUCGAAAAGUAAAUACUUAAAUUCUGAAUAGUUAAACUGCUUUUUCUAAUUUAUUUUUUCAUGGAUAGUAACAUGUCUACGAAUAAGUAAUAUUCGGUUCAAAUCGAAAAAAUCGAUCGUAUCGAAUUAAUUUAAAAAUUCAAUUUGAUUUUUUUUAUUUAUUUCAGUUCGGUUCGGUUUUUAAUUUUAAAAAUUUUUGUUAUUUCAAUUCGAUUCGAUUUUGAUCAGAAAAAAUUGAAAAAGCCAAACCGAACCGAUUAGUGAUAAUAAUAUAUUGUUUUUAAUAAUAUAGAGAAAUUAGAACAUAUUAAAAUUAAAAUAUUUUAAUUAAAUUUUAAAAUAUUAAAAAUAAAGUAUAAAAAAUAAAAAAAUUUAUUAGAUAUUGAAACUGAUCAAAACGAAUCGAAUUAACUAAAUCAGAUCGGUUCAGUUCAAUUUAAUUUCUGAUAAAAAUCAAUUCGAUUCUAUUUUUAUAAAUAUUAAAAUUUCAGUUUUCAAUUUAUUUGAUUCAGUUCGAUUUUAAAUCGAACCGAGCAAAUGCUCGCCUCUAAAGACAAGCAACGACUAUCACAGUUACCUUGGAAUUAGGAAGAGAAAUGAUUUACAUAUUCUACGCUCAAUUACUAUGAGAUAAUUUUUUUUUUUUAGAUGUGGAAAUUAUUUGAAAUAUAGUCGAAUUUCUUGAUACUCAUAUUAAAACUAUUUUAAAUUAAAAAUUUUAAAUUGAUAAUUUAAGGCCCACAAUUUAUUUAAGUUAUUUGAAUUUGAAAAGUUAUAAUAAAUAGAUAAAUGGAUACCCUCAAACAAUUUUUUUCCUUGUAUCUCAAAAGAAUUAUAAAAAAUUAUUUUGGGUAAUGUUCUGUAUUAUAAUUAAAUUAAAAAAAUGAAAUUUUUGUAAGAUUAUUUUCUAUAAAAAUGCCAUUAAUAUAAUAUUAUUGUUAAUUUAUUUAAAAACUUAAUAAAAAAAUACUCAAUUUAAUGAUUUAAAAUGAUACAAUUUAAUCUGUUGAAAUAUUUAUCACUUACGCUCCGUCUAUUCCUGUAAAUUUUAUAGGAAUUUUUUUUUUUUUUUACAUUUUUUCGGCUUUAAAAUAUUUUAAAAAAUUAAUUAAUAAAAAUAUUUUUUAAUUAAAAAAUUAAAUUAUUUUUAAAAUACAAUAAGGUUUAAAAUAUUUAUAAAAAAGAAUAUUAUUAAAAUUAAAGUAAGUUCCUUCUGUCUCACAUUGUAGUCCUACUUUUUUCAAUAAUACAAUAAGGUUUGUUCGUAUUAGACAACUUUCUUACUUUACAUAAUCAUAUCUAUUUUUAGAUUUUUAAACUUUUAGACAAUUUUUUAGAAUUAAUUUUGACUUUCAUAAUAAUUAUAUAUAUAUAUAUUAUCAAAAUAUAUUUUUAAAUAUAGAAUUGUGGGGAGAUAUUUUUGAAUAUAUCAUUUCAAUAUUGUGCCCUUUAUUUUUUCUUUUUAAACGAGGAUUGAGAAUCGAAGAAUAGAAUAUAAAAUUUUUCCGAUUUAUUCAGAUACACUUAUUAUCAAAUUAAAUUUAUGAGUGAUACCCUUUAGUUAGUAUCUCUUCGUAUUGUAUUGUAGAGUGAUAUUCUUUCAUACUAAAAAUUAAUUUCUCUUAAUUUUUAACUACUAAUUUUAAUAAUAUUUUCUUUUUUUAAAAAAUUACAUACUUUAUAAUUUUAAUUAAUACUUUACCGUAUAAUCACAAUAUAAUAUAGAGUAAUUAUAAAAAAUAUAGACUUAAAUUAUUUAUUUUUUUACAAUUAUCUCAAAAUAAAAAUUGAAGUAUUACUUUUUUUUAAUGACAGUAUCUGAUAUCGUAAUUAAUGAAGAUUACAAUUUUUUUGUCAAUAAUUAAUGAAUUGUACCUUUGGAGAUUGACAGACAUACAUGUUUAAUGCUUGGUUUGUGAAUAUGGAAAUGUUUCCUUUUUAUAAGAAAAUGUUCAAACUUAAUUUAGAAAGUCCAGUGAGAGGAUCAGAACAGUUGUAAGCAGACAGAAAAGCUAUGCAGACGUCCGUAGGAAGCAGAUAGAGUUCCAGGAGGGAGAUAUGGUAUUGCUGAAGGUGUCUCCAAUGAAGGGAGUGGUUCACUUUGAAAGGAAGGGUAAGCUAGCUCCACGAUACAUUGGUCCCUUUGAAAUUUUGCAGAAGAUCGGAAAUGUGUCGUACAAGCUAGAUUUACCUGCCUCUAUGGAAAGAAUCCAUCCGGUUUUCCAUGUUUCUAUGCUACGGAAGUUUGUGUCAGAUCCGGAAAAGGUUCUCAGUGAACCUGAGAUAGAGAUUCUAGGAGAUCUCUCCUAUGUAGAGCAGCCAGUGCGGAUCAUGGACACCCAGAUCAGAAAGUUACGAAACAAGGAGAUUCCGAUGGUAAAAGUUCUGUGGAACCACCACAAUCUAGAGGAGUGCACCUGGGAGACACGGGAGUCUAUGCUCCAGCAAUAUCCGUAUCUGUUUUGAGGUUAGUUAGUUUUCCCUCUCUAUGUGUUUUUGUGCUUCAAUGUUUGAGGACAUUCGGGGACGAAUGUUCUUAAGGGGGAGAGAAUGUAAUACCCGGCUUGAGGCCGGCAUCGGAAUUCCUAUCGUCCGGUGGAAGUUCUGAUGUCGGAAGGCUCUAGCAGGGUUUGGGUUAUGUUUUGCUAUGUUUUAAAGAGGUUUUAAUGUUUUAAAGUGUAAAGGAAAUGAGUUUUUGAAAGAAAAGCACCAAGGGAGAAAUGCCAAGGUUCGGCCGCCGAACAUGCAUGGCUUUCGGGUUCACGUUUGGCCGCCGAAGGUGGUCUGGCCAGCCACCUAUAAAAGGCCCUAGGUCGGUCAAAUGGAUAAGAUUUUCUUUCCAUUUGCACGAGCUGAGGUGAGACUUGAGCUUCCUUGAGUGAUUCAUGUGUUUUCUCAAAGUUUUCAUGGUUUUGAUAGAUUUUCAUGUGUUUUUGAAGUGCUUGAGCAAAAGAGCAAAGUUUGGAAGCUUGGAGACGUUGAGAGAGGAUUUCUCCAUAUCUCCACGUUAGGAUCGUUUAUUAUCUUGUUUGGAAGAGGUAAGUGAAGAUCCUGACCUUCCUUUCCUGAGUUUUGAAGGUUUUAUGGGAGUUGUAUGGGUAGUUAUGCAUGGUUAGGGUAAGGGAGGUUUUUGAUGAUUUUGUGUCUAAGCAUGUUUACAUGUUGUGUGAGAUGUUUGUUUGAGGUUUUAGGCUAGUUUUGGACCUCUUUAUGCAUGUUAUAUGGUAUAUGCUAGUUGGGAGUAGUUGAUAUGCAUGUUGGGUAAGUUUUGGAUAAAGUUUUCAUGAAACAGAGCAGGUUUCUGCCCAACGGGCAAAACCAGGUUCGGCCACUGAACCCCUUGUGGAGGCAGUUUCGGCUGCUAAAGCUUGCCUCCGAACUUUGGGACUUUCGUCUCUGGACGCAAGGUUCGGCCGCCGAAGGUUAGAGACUUUCGUCUCUGGAGGGUCUUUCAGCCCCCGAACCUUGCUCCCGAAAGGGUUCGGCCGCCGAAAGAAGGAGUUCGGCCGCCGAAGGUGCUUGAGUUUCGUCUCUGGAUGAGACUUUCGGCCGCCGAACCUGCCGCCGAAAGUGCCUUGUUCAGCUUUCUUUUGCAUGUUUUAUGUGAUUGUUAUGUGUUUGUUUUAGGAUCUUUUAGAGGGCUUUGGGGGAGUUUCUUAGAGAUGUUCUUGAGUUAGUUUGGUCCCUCAUUUGAGUCCACCUGUAUAGGAACGGACCAGAAGAAUCAGGGAGGUCAGCAGUGAGCACUGCUUCAGAACCUGCAGAGUCAGUUCAGAGUCAGCCAGAGGUGAGUGGAACUAAACUUAAUCUGUUAACGAUGAGAACAUAAAUGCUUUUAGCAUGUUUCAUGCAUUAUGAUGAUUAUAUAGGUUGAUUGCACUAAUUUCACGAAUAUGGUGCAUUGCAUUAUAUGAUGAAUAUGAUGAUAUGGAUGGACCAAGGCGACCCCAAUAGCCCUAGCUCUGUUGUAAGACCUGGCUGGGCCAGGCAGCCAUCUGUUGUCAGACCUGGCUAGGCCAGGCAGACAGAGAUUGUAAGACUUGGCUGGGCCAGGCAGGCAGAGAUUGUAAGACCUGGCCGGGCCAGGCAUACUCAGGUUAUAAGACCUGGCCGGGCCAGGCAUCCUGUCAUGGAAGGGAGUUUUGGUGUCAUGUUCAUCCGUGAUAUGAAAUGUUUGUGCUGUGAUGCAUACCAUGAGACCAUGUUUUACUCACACGUUUUAUAGUUCUGCUCAUUGGGCUUGUAUAGCUCAUCCCUCUCCCUUAACCCCAGUCUUGCAGGUUCAGAGUCCAGAGGGAGUCCAGCAGGGUAUGGAAGGAGAAGAGUUAUGUAAUAGCUAGUGUGGACAUGUACUUGUAACAGUGUGGACAUGUACUUGUAAAGAGAUAGUAAUUGUGUAAUCAGAUGUAUAGUAUUGUGCUUGACCAUUUGUAGUAAUCCCUCUUUGUAUAUACAUGGUCUGUUUAUGUAAAUGUUUUACAUUAUAUAUUUGAAAGACCAGGCUUAACACAGUAUGCGUUUAGCCCACCUAGAGCAAAGAUGAGAGCUCUAGUAGGGGUUUACAGUAUAGAGAUGAUGUAUGCACAGGUUAAGCCUUGGAACAGAGAAAAGUUUUACGUUUUACAGAAAAUGUAUGAUCAUGUAUGGGAUUUCACAGGUACACAGAGUUCACAGUAGGUUUGCUACGGGUCCCGACGGCCUUAAGUCGAUAUGGAUCCUAGCGCCGGUAGCAGUUCGGUUUUCGGGCUGUUACACCUGCAACCUCAAAAACUCCUCGGUAUAUUCAUCCACCCUUCGGUUCCCCUGUACAUAGUCAUGAUACCGGUUAUACAAAACUUGAGUAUGAUCGCUAGGCAAGAACCGUUGUUCAAUCAUCUGCUUCAUCAACACCCAGUUUCGUAUGGGUUCCAGCCUCCUCUGAUAGCGUUCGUUUUGAAUCGAAUUCCACCAGACUGUUGCACCCCUUUUUAAAUUAUAGGCCACCAUCGAAGCCUUGCGAUCCUCUUCCACGUUCAUAACUUCAAAAAAACAUUCAACCUCUGCCAGCCAAUCAAGAAUAGAUUCCACAUCCAACGAAUCAAAAAAGUUUUGAAGGUCUAUCUUGAUCUUGUAACCUUCCUAACAAUUCUGUUGGAGAUUUGCAGGUACAGGAUUGGCGAUUGGCUGGGGGUGUGCGGCGGUGGGUUGGUGGAUUCCCUACUGUAGGGUCAGUUGUCCGAUCAUCUCCCUGAAUUCUGUCAAAGAUGCCUCAAUCGCAGCAAGUCAUGCCUCUUAGUUAUCUGCCAUGGUCGAACUUUACUCUGAUAUCAAUCUGAUAAAGGACUAAUUAGACUCUAUCAAGAGUUUUAACCAAUAUCGUUUGACUAAGACGAUAUAAGAGAAAAGAUAGGCUGAAAGACGAACAGUUUUAUUGAAAUUUUUCAAAAAUUGAAAAGUGAGUUUCUAAUAACCAAGAAAUGCUAUUUAUAAUAGAAAAAAAAACUCUAAUAUGCAAAAUUAUAAAAAUAUUCAAAAAAAAAUAAUUAAAAUGCAAAAUUGACCCCUAAAUGAAUGAAUUUUCAUAUCGAAUUUUGUGACAAGUCUAUGGCGCUCGUCACACUUUUGAAAAUCGUGCGUCCCAAAAUUUUUUUUUUAAAAAAAUUAUCGUGGGUCUCUAUCAGACGUCGGCAGCAAAAAUUAGGAUCGGUUCAAAUCUGCUAUAAAGUCUAAAAUUAGUUGUUCUGUGUCAUGGAGUUUUUCCUCAAUAGGUUUUUAUUUAUUUGACCCUUAAAGAUACAUGUUGCUUUGUUAUGUUCUCCUUUAGUUCUUAAGCCUUAAGCUUAGUUGAUGUAUUGUAAUGCUUUUAUUCAUUUAAUGAAAUAUUAUAUUUAAUAAAAAAAAACACUUUAUCAAGGAAACUUUUAUUUCUCCCUCUAAAAAUGCCAAAAAUAAGAAUAGAAAGUGUUUAAUGUUCGCCGAGUACAUAUUGAAAUGUUUCCUUUUUAUGGAAAAUGUUGUCACUUAAUUUAGAAAAUUAGGUGAGAGAUGACAUUCGAUUAUGUGAUAUGAGCACUGCACACCACUUUUAUCACUUUUAAUACUAAGCCUUUUAUUAAAAAAAAAAAAAAAAUCUUUAACUAUUUAAUAAUAGAACUAAAAAGCAACUUUAUUCACGAUUAAUAAAAUAAAUAUAAAAAAUUAAAAAUAUUCUCGAACUAACGACUAUAUUUUUUUUUUUAUUAACACUUUUACUUAUGUUUUUUAAAAUAAAUAAUUUAUUAAUUUUUUACAUGAUCGAUGUAUUUAUAUUUAAUUAUUAUGAAUUUAGUAAGUUAACUAUUGAUUAAAAUUUAAAAAAUAAUAUUAGAUAUUAUGUGUUUGAUAAUUUUACUAAUAUUUGAAGCCAAAAGUUUUACAUUAUUUUUAAAAAAAAAAUUAAUAUUUCAUUUCGAAAAGUAAAUACUUAAUAUUCUGCAUAGUUAAACUGCUUUUUUUAAUUUCAUUUUUCCAUGGACGGUAAUAGGGCUAGGAUAAGUAGUAUUCGGUUCAAAUCGAAAAAAUUGAUUUAAUUGAAUUAAUUUGAAAUUUUAAUUUGAUUUUUUUAUUUAUUUCAGUUCGAUUCGAUUUUUAAUUUUAAAAAUUUUUGUUAUUUCAGUUCAGUUCGAUUUUAAUCAGAAAAAUUAAAAAAGCCAAACCGAACCGAUUAAUGAUAAUAAUAUAUUAUUUUUAAUAAUAUAGAGAAAUUAGAAUAUAUUAAAAUUAAAAUAUUUUAAUUAAAUUUUAAAAUAUUAAAAAUAAAGUGGUAAAAAUAAAAAAUUUAUUAGAUAUUGAAACCGAUCAAAACGAAUCGAAUUAACUAAAUCAGACCGGUUCGAUUCAAUUUAAUUUCUGAUCAAAAUCGAUUCGAUUUGAUUUUUAUAAAUACUAAAAUUUUAAUUUUCAAUUUAAUCGAUUUAAUUCAGUUUUAAAUCGAACCGAUCGAAUGUUCGCUUCUAAAUAUGAAUUUUAAAUCGAACCGAUCGAAUGCUCGCCUCUAAAUAAUGCAAGCACCGACUAUCACAGUUAUUUUGAAAUUAGGAAGAGAAAUGAUUUACAUAUUCUACGCUCAAUUACUAUGAGAUAUUUUUUUUUUUUUAGAUGUGGAAAUUAUUUGAAAUAUAAUCGAAAUUCUCUGUGAUACUCAUAUUAAAACUAUUUUAAAUUAAAAAUUUUAAAUUGAUAAUUUAAGGCCUACAAUUUAUUUAAGUCAUUUGAAUUUGAAAAGUUAUAAUAAAUAGAUAAAUGGAUACCCUCAAACAAUUUUUUUCCUUGUAUCUCAAAAGAAUUAUAAAAAAUUAUUUUGGGUAAUGUUCUGUAUUAUAAUUAAAUUAAAAAAAUGAAAUUUUUGUAAGAUUAUUUUCUAUAAAAAUUCCAUUAAUAUAAUAUUAUUGUUAAUUUAUUUAAAAACUUAAUAAAAAAAAUACUCAAUUUAAUGAUUUAAAAUGAUACAAUUUAAUCUGUUGAAAUAUUUAUCACUUACGCUCCGUCUAUACCUGUAAAUUUUAUAGGAAAAUUUUUUUUUUUUUUUGACAUUUUUUCGGCUUUAAAAUAUUUUAAAAAAUUAAUUAAUAAAAAUAUUUUUUAAUUAAAAAAUUAAAUUAUUUGUAAAAUACAAUAAGGUUUAAAAUAUUUAUAAAAAAGAAUAUUAUUAAAAUUAAAGUAAGUUCCUUCUGUCUCACAUUGUAGUCCAACUUUUUUCAAUAAUACAAUAAGGUUUGUUCGUAUUAGACAACUUUCUUACUUGACAUAAUCAUAUCUAUUUUUAGAUUUUUAAACUUUUAGACAAUUUUUUAGAAUUAAUUUUGACUUUCAUAAUAAUUAUAUAUAUAUAUAUAUAUAUAUUAUCAAAAUAUAUUUUUAAAUAUAGAAUUGUGGGGAGAUAUUUUUGAAUAUAUUAUUUUAAUAUUGUGCCCUUUAUUUUUUCUUUUUAAACGAAGAUUGAGAAUCGGAGGAUAGAAAUAAAAUUUCUUCGAUUUAUUCAGAUACACUUAUCAUCAAAUUAAAUUUAUGAGUGAUACCCUUUAAUUAGCAUCUCUUCGUAUUGUAUAGUGAUAUUUUUUCAUACUGAAAAUUAAUUUCUCUUAAUUUUUAACUACUAAUUUUAAUAAUAUUUUCUUUUUUUAAAAAAUUACAUACUUUAUAAUUUUAAUUAAUACUUUACCGUAUAAUUACAAUAUAAUAUAGAGUAAUUAUAAAAAAAUAUAGACUUAAAUUAUGUAUUUUUUUACAAUUAUCUCAAAAUAAAAAUUGAAGUAUUACUUUUUUUUAAUGACAGUAUCUGAUAUCGUCAGUAAUGAAGAUUACAAUUUUUUUUGUCAAUAAUUAAUGAAUUGUACCUUUGGAGAUUGAGAGACAUACAUGUUUAAUGCUUGGUUUGUGAAUAUGGGAAUGUUUCCUUUUUAUAAGAAAAUGUGGAAAAUAUUCUAACUUAAUUUAGAAAGUCCAGUGAGAGAUGGGCUGAAAUUGUGGGAUGUGAGCACUGUACACCGCUUUUGUCAUUUUCACUACUAAAAUUAAACGUUGCUGAUACAAUUAAUUAAGAAAAACAAAGAAAAUCUUAACUAUCUAAACAAUUGAUCUUUUUUUUUUUAAAAAAAGCAACUUUAUCUAUAACUAAUAAAAUAAAUAUAAAAUUAUUACUUAAUUUUUAUAAUAUAAAAAAUUUAUUUGCGAGCCUAUAUAAAAAAUUUAAGUGAAUUAGAUUUAAUAAUUUAAAAUUUAAGAGAACAUAAAUUACAUAUGACUAUAUAAAAAAUUAAAAAAUUAAAGUUUAACAUCAAAAUUUUAAGUUGCUAAUAAAUAAAUAAAAUUUAUUUCCUAUGAUCCAUAUAAAAAGCAAAAAAAUUUUGUGAUUUCAUAUCUUAAUUAAUUGUUUAACCAAAUUAAACCAUUAUAUUAGUUUCUUAUUUGGUUUACUCUUAGAUUAUAGUAUAUACUUUAUUUUUAUUUUAAAUGUAAUAUACUAUAAUUCUUAAUAAUAGAUAAAAUUAAAAUUUUAUUAGUUUUAAUUAUUUUAAUUUUUAAGCAAUUCUAAAGGAAAUAUUUUUAAUUCAUUUUUUUUAAAAAAUAAUGUUACAUAACAUAUUAAAAUCAUUGUUCUAAUUUUUGUUUCAUAAGGAGACAAAAAAACAUUUUUUUAUCUUUUAAUCAAUUAUUAUACAAAUCAAUUUAAAAGAAAAUUAGUGUUUUCAAUUUAUUUUUAAAAAAUAUUUAAUAUUAUAUUACAUAUCAAAAUCAUUAUUUUCUUAAGUAUGAGCAUAAAUAAAGUUAAUCGGAUCAACUUUAAUUCAUUAAAUUUUUUUCAAGUUCGAUCUCACUCAUUUCAAAUUCGAAUAAAAUAUUAAUCAUUAUUUCAAAUUCGAAUAGAAUAUUAAUAAAUUCAAAUUUAAUUCAUUUAAUAAGUGAGCUAGCUGAGCCAAAAUUUUAAACACUCUAAUCAUGAAUUAUUCACAAAUAAUUUAAUUUAUUUUCGAUUAUAAUAAAUUUUAAUUUAAUUAAUAAAUUUAAAAUUAAAUAAUUUAAUUAAAUAAAUAUACAUACAAAAUCAAUUUAUAAAAUUAAAAAAAAAUAACUCAUAAACUUUAAUUAGUCGAAUUUUCGCUAGUCCUAAAAGUGCAGUAGAACUAAGCAAAACUAGAAGGAUAAGGCUUAACCCAUAAAGUUUAUGAAGACUUGAGUUUGAGCUUAAUUCUUUUAUGACAUUGAGUUCAAUCUAUUUAAUAAAUUUGUUCACGAGCCUACUGAAUGAGUUAAUUUGCGAGCCUAUUUAUAAAUUUGAAAAUGAGUCGAGCUUAGCAAUGCAAAGUUUAAAUUUGACUUAUUUAGAGCAUUUGCGAAUUGCUUCACCUUCUUUUGUUUGAACCAUUCAAGAUAUCCGAAUAGUUUGAAACAAGAGUCCUUGGUGUAUCCUGUAUGUUUGCAGUGGUCGCAGAACCUUUUGUCUUUCUUUCCAAUCUCCCUUCUCUUGAAUGAUGUUUUAUAACUCGUAUUCUCCCUGUUAUUGCCCUGUGUCUUAGUCAUCAUGGCCAUGGAACCAUCUGCCACAUUUGGUGUGAAGGUGUUAACUUCUCUUUAUUUUUCAACCCUCGAUACCAUGGCAUAUGCACAAUUUACUAGGAAGAACUGUUUCUAACGUGAUGAUAUGAUGAAUUUAGUCCCAUGAAGAACUGAAUCAAUAUGUGGCUUUCACAAAUUUCACUCAUCUUUUUUGCAAUACUACAAGUAAAUACAGAAAAUGGUCUGACACAAACUAAUUCAUCCCAAACUUUCUUAGGUUUAGUAAAGCAAACCAUUACAUUCAUAUUACCUUGUUAUAAUGAGUUGAUUUCUCACAAUCUGGUAGAUCUGAGGCCUAUUGCUUCCUCCAAAGCAUUGAGCCAACUCUUUCCACAAUUCAUGAAAAGUCCUGGUAUACAAAAAUGCCUCCACGAUUUCUUUGAAAAUAGAGUUUAAAAUCUAAGAAAUCACCAUACUAUCGACUUUUUGCCAUUGCUUAAAAUUAUGAGAGCCUUCCUCAAGUUUCUUGUGUUUUCCCAUGACAAAGCCAACAUUAUUCUUAGCUCGCAAUGCAAUCAGCGUCGAUCUGCUCCAAGUCAGAUAGUUUUCUCUAGUAAGUGGUACACUCACCAAUACUACUCCUGGAGAAUCAGAAUUAUGCAAAGUGAGGUGGCCCUUCUGGUUCAUAGUUGGGAUCACGUCGCUGGUACUAGCCAUGACUGUUACGGAAGCUUGAUCGUCAAGAUCUGAUACCAUGAACAGAAAGUAACAACGAUAUUUUUUUACUUUGUGUUAACUUAUAUAUACAAAAGCGGAAACUACUAGAAUGAUUUAGAGAUUUUUCUCAAUAGUACGCUAACUACUUUCAUAACUAACUACUCAUUUUCCGCUUAAAUUUCCUUUCGUAAUCUGCUGCAUGUGGAAGGCGUGACUUUUCAAUCGACCUCAGUUCAGUGUUUUCCACUUCAGCAUUUUUCAGUUUGGCACCAAUUCGGUAUUUUUCAAUUCGACAUCACCUUAGAGAAAAGACGCUAGAGCUCGUCCCCUAUGCAUUUUCUUGUACGCACUGUUUUAUUAACUCGUUGCACUGCAUUUUAUUUAUUAGUCGUUAUUCUUUCGAGUAUUUAAAUAAAAUUUAUUUUUAAAUUAGUAAUUUAAUUAUAAUAAUUAAAUAAAAUUUAAAAAUUUAUUUUUAUUUUUAUUUUUUUUCAUUUUAAGAAUAUAUAUAUAUAUAUAUAUAUAUAUAUAUAUACCUUACCCAUUAUCUAAGAAAAUAAUGAUUUUGAUAUGUGAUNNNNNNNNNNNNNNNNNNNNNNNNNNNNNNNNNNNNNNNNNNNNNNNNNNNNNNNNNNNNNNNNNNNNNNNNNNNNNNNNNNNNNNNNNNNNNNNNNNNNNNNNNNNNNNNNNNNNNNNNNNNNNNNNNNNNNNNNNNNNNNNNNNNNNNNNNNNNNNNNNNNNNNNNNNNNNNNNNNNNNNNNNNNNNNNNNNNNNNNNNNNNNNNNNNNNNNNNNNNNNNNNNNNNNNNNNNNNNNNNNNNNNNNNNNNNNNNNNNNNNNNNNNNNNNNNNNNNNNNNNNNNNNNNNNNNNNNNNNNNNNNNNNNNNNNNNNNNNNNNNNNNNNNNNNNNNNNNNNNNNNNNNNNNNNNNNNNNNNNNNNNNNNNNNNNNNNNNNNNNNNNNNNNNNNNNNNNNNNNNNNNNNNNNNNNNNNNNNNNNNNNNNNNNNNNNNNNNNNNNNNNNAAAAAAAAAAAAAAAAACUUAAUAAAUUUUUUAACUCAUGGAAAAGAUUAAACCAAAUAAGAAGCUAACAUUUGCAUGAUUUGAUUAAACAAUUCAUCUAUGUAAAGUAAUAAGAAAUUUUAAUUCAUAACAAAACAAUUUCAUAAAUAUUUAGAAAAUAUUACAUAGACUACGGAGACUAAAAAUGAGACUUUUUUAAUUCAUAAUAAAACAAUUUUUAUGAAAGUAUAGAUAAAUAGAAAUUUAAAAUAAUGUGAUUAUUUUUCAUGAUUGAAAAAAAUUGUGGUACGAGAAAAAAAAAUUAUAUAUAUAUUUCCCAAAGUAAAGCAAGAAUUUCAAAUUGUUGAUGAAGAAUUAUUCUAAUAAAAUUUUAAAAAUUAUAUUAAUAACAAUAAAAAUCAUUAAAAUUUUGAGAAUAAAAAUAUUGAGGCCUAAACCCUCUAAUAUAGCAAGUAGCUCAAAUUAUAUAGUAAUAAAUUUUUACGGAUAGUUUUAAGAUAAAUUCUUUUGAAAAAAAUAAGCAGUAUAAGUAGAACAAAAAAUUUAAAAAAAUAGUUUUUAUGUCGAUAACUUUGAAAAAAAAAUAUAUUUAUUUUAUUAAUCAUAAAUAAAAUUACUUUUUAAUUCUUAAAAAUAAAUAUAUUAUUUAUCAAUUUUUUUAAAAAUCAAUAAUUUAAUUUAUGUCAGAUUUGGAUAGUAUUAAAUUCUACUUCCUCAAUUUUUAAUCUCUAUUUUAAAGAAAUAUAAUUUUUAAAUACGGUAAAAAAUUAAUAUGAAAAUUAUAUUAUAAAUUAUUAGUUUAAUAUAAAUUAAAUUCUAUAUUUUAAAAUAAAAAAAUUAAUAAAAUCAUAAAUUAUUUUUUAUAUUUUUAAUUAAUAAUUAUAUUUUAUUUAUUACAUUAAUAUUUUUUAUGAUAUUAAAAAGUUAUUAUUAUUUAUUAAUAAUAUAAUAUUAUAUAUAUUAUUUUUAAUAAAAAAUUAAAUUAUAUAAUUUAAAAUAAAAAUAAGUGAAAUAAUGUUAUAUUUUUUAUAUAUUUUUUUUAAUUUUAUUGUUUAGAUUGUUAAAGCUUUUCUUAAUUUUUUUAAUUAGUUGUAUUAGCAACCUGUAAGCACAUUAAUAAAAAGCUUAGUAUUAAAAAUGACAAAAGCGGUGUGCAGUGCUGACAUCACACAAUUGAACGUCAUCUCUCAGUUAAGUUUCUCAAUUAAGUUAGAACAUACGGCACAGUUUCGUAUAAAAAGGUCUCAUUUCCAUGUGUAUUUAGCGUUCAUUAACGUUUCACGUAUAAUUAAUAAAAAAUUAAAUUAAAUAUUUUUAAAAUAGAGAGUAAAAUUAUAAAAAAUAAAAAUAUAUAAUUUUUAUUAAAUUAUAUUAUAAUAAUUUUAUCAUAAUAUAGCAAUAAUAUGGAUUCUAAAUAAUUGUAAAGUGUAUGAUUUUUUAACUUUUAGAUAUAAUUAAUGAAAAUUUAAAAAUAUAAAUGCAAAGUGACUAUUUUAAAGUGGACGAUAGAAUUCUAAAUAAUUGUAAAGUGUAUCAUUUUCGUAAUUAUCCUUUGAUUUUUAAAGAAGGUAUUAUUAAAAUUAGUAGUUAAAAAUUUUAGAAAUUAAUUUUCAAUUAUAUAAAUGUAUAGGAAAGAAUAUCUCCCUAUGAUAUGUAGAAAUACCAAAUAAAAAAUAUAUAUAUUUAUGUAUAUUGAGAUUGUGUAUUCAAAAAUAUUUUUCUUUUUCGUUAAGAUCGUUUAAUCUCAAAUAAUUCACGGUAUUUCUUAAAUUUAUUUAGAAACAGAAAUCGAGUUUUUCAAACUCUUUUUUGAGUAGUUGUCUUUAUAAAAACUUUCAAAUGUUGUAAAUAUGAUAAAAAAAAAAACUCUCUCCAUAAUGAUGUAUUCAAAAAUAUAAUUUGGUAAUAUGUGUAAAAAAAUUAGUGGAAAAAUUAAAAUUAGUUCUAGAAAAUUGUUUAUUGUUCAAAUACAUUAUAUCUAAAAAUGGAUAUGAUUAUGUAGAGUAAGAAAGUUGCAAAUACGAAAAAACCUUUACUGUAUUAUUGAAAAAAGUAGGGCUAAAAUGUAAGAUAGAAGGGAACUUACUUUUAUUUUAAUAAUAUUCUUUUUUAUUAAAAAAUUUAUAAUAUCAAGAAAUAUCAGCCACAGAAACCAUGCAUGCAAUUCACAAGUAGAUGAUUUAAGUUCUGCAUGGACUCUAUAUAAAGAAGCAUUACCAAGAAGCGAAAACCACACACAAGCACUUGAAAUUAUCAUGGCUAUGGCUACUAAACACUACAACUUUCUUCAGCUAUUGGGGAUGCUCGUCUUGUUCAUAACCUUGUUGGCUCUCACUAGGCCAGCAAUGGGAACUGAUGAUGAUGAUAUUCCUGACGAUUUUAGCCGUAAAUAUUUUCCGGAUGACUUCAUUUUUGGAACGGCUACUUCUGCUUACCAGGUAAAUAUAUAAUCAUUUAUGAUAUUCAGAUCGAAGGUGAAGCAACCGCAAAGGGUAGAGCACCUAGUGUUUGGGACAUAUUUUCCAAGGAGACUCCAGGUAUGUAUGUGUAUUUGUCCAUCUUUAUUGACUAUAUCUAAUUAUUUAUGUCUAAUUUUGCAGAUAGAAUAUUAGAUGGCAGCAAUGGAGACGUUGCAGUUGAUUUCUAUAACCGCUACAUAGUAUAGCAGUCAAACUUUUUAUUUUAUAUUUCCUUCCUCAAGCCCUAUGUUGAUUAUCAACAAUAAAAUUAAAUAAGCUUUGUGAAAUUGAUGUUGCAGCAAGAUAUAAAAAACGUCAAAAAGAUGGGUUUUAAUGCAUUUAGAAUGUCCAUUUCAUGGUCUAGAGUUAUACCAUGUAAGUAUUUUAUUAAAUUUUUGCUUUUAUUUAUAAAUUAAAUUUGUUAUGCAAAAUAUUUAUAAAUUUCUCUAUCUUUGUUUUUGAAACAUUAAAUAUUUAGCCGGAAGGAGACGUGAAGGAGUGAACGAGGAAGGAAUUCAAUUCUACAAUGAUGUUAUCAAUGAAAUUAUAAGCAAUGGUAAACCUUAUAUAUUUUCUUUAAGGAGAUUGAAAAUUAAAUUAAAAUUACAAAAGUAUUCCAAACUUAUCGAAGUUAAUUAAAUUACAUCAAAAUGUUUAAUUUAUUUUGUUAUAAAAUUCAGGACUAGAGCCUUUUGUUACUAUUUUUCAUUGGGAUACUCCUCAAGCACUGCAGGACAAAUAUGGUGGCUUCUUAAGCCGUGAUAUUGUGUAAGUAUAUAAUUUUAUUGUGAUUUUAAAAUAUUAAAAAUUUAGAAUUUCAUAUAAAUUUUGUUCAAAAAUAUUCUCAUCUAAGUAUUAAAAUAUCUUAUUGAAUUAUUACAUGAAAUACAGGUACGAUUAUCUUCAAUAUGCAGAUCUUCUCUUUGAAAGAUUCGGUGAUCGAGUGAAACGCUGGAUGACUUUUAAUGAACCAUCAGCAUAUGUUGGAUUUGCCCAUGAUGAUGGAGUUUUUGCCCCUGGUCGAUGCUCAUCUUGGGUGAAUCGCCAAUGCCUAGCUGGAGACUCAGCCACAGAACCUUAUAUAGUUGCCCAUAAUUUGCUUCUUUCUCAUGCUGCAGCUGUUCACCAAUAUAGAAAAUAUUAUCAGGUUUAUAUUAUAUAUAUAUUUUUCUCCUAAAAAAAUAUAUGCAAUUACAUAAAACCUUUGUAUAUUUGACUAUGUAGGGAACUCAAAAGGGCAAGAUUGGGAUUACCCUCUUUACCUUUUGGUAUGAACCUCUCUCCGACAGUAAAGUUGAUGUGCAAGCAGCCAAAACAGCCUUAGAUUUCAUGUUUGGAUUGUGAGUCUUUCUUCCAAAUUGAGCUGGUAAUUAAAUGUUUAACAUGUAUAUAAAUCUUCAAUUAAACUUUGUAUUUUUAUUCAUAAUUUCAGGUGGAUGGAUCCCAUGACUNNNNNNNNNNNNNNNNNNNNNNNNNNNNNNNNNNNNNNNNNNNNNNNNNNNNNNNNNNNNNNNNNNNNNNNNNNNNNNNNNNNNNNNNNNNNNNNNNNNNNNNNNNNNNNNNNNNNNNNNNNNNNNNNNNNNNNNNNNNNNNNNNNNNNNNNNNNNNNNNNNNNNNNNNNNNNNNNNNNNNNNNNNNNNNNNNNNNNNNNNNNNNNNNNNNNNNNNNNNNNNNNNNNNNNNNNNNNNNNNNNNNNNNNNNNNNNNNNNNNNNNNNNNNNNNNNNNNNNNNNNNNNNNNNNNNNNNNNNNNNNNNNNNNNNNNNNNNNNNNNNNNNNNNNNNNNNNNNNNNNNNNNNNNNNNNNNNNNNNNNNNNNNNNNNNNNNNNNNNNNNNNNNNNNNNNNNNNNNNNNNNNNNNNUAAAAUUCUAGCAAAGAGAAAUAUUUAUGUGAAUAAUAUUGUUGACAUACAAAUUAAAAAUUUGCAGGCUUACUCGUCAUGGUUUUACAUUUUUCCAAAAGGUAUUCGACACUUUUUGAACUAUACCAAAGAUACAUAUAAUGAUCCAGUCAUUUACGUUACUGAGAAUGGUAAGUUUUUUUUUUAAUAAAUAUUUUGUUCAUAGAAAAGUAAAUCCAGAUUAUAUUUUUGAUCUAAUUCUCAAGUUUACACUAAUUUAGGGGUUGACAACUACAAUAAUGAAUCUCAACCAAUUGAGGAGGCACUUCAAGAUGAUUUCAGGAUUUCGUACUAUAAAAAGCAUAUGUGGAAUGCACUAGGAUCUCUCAAGUGAGUCCAAACUCUAUGACCCAUACUAAUUAUUAUAGAGAUUUGGGAUAACUAUUUUUAAUUUAUUUUCAAAUGAUUAUUAAUUUUUACAGGAACUACGGUGUUAAUCUCAAAGGUUAUUUUGCAUGGUCAUAUUUAGACAACUUCGAAUGGAAUAUUGGUUAUACAUCAAGAUUUGGGUUGUACUAUGUAGACUACAAAAAUAACCUAACAAGAUAUCCCAAGAAAUCGGCUCAUUGGUUCACAAAAUUCCUGAAUAUAUCAGUUAAUGAAAAUAAUAUCUAUGAGCUUACAUCAAAGGAUUCAAGGAAGGUUGGCAAAUUCUAUGUGAUGUAGAUAAUGUCUUUACUUUUUGUGUGUCUCUUGUAAUUAAAUAAUAUCAUUGGGCUACUAUAUACCACCAAUGAUCUGGCUUAUGUUGUGAUAAA
rnacentral:lncRNA from 1 species